rnacentral:lncRNA from 1 species
CUUUUUCUCUUUUGGUUCCCUGCUACAACCCCAACGUUUCAUCAUGAACACUCUACAUACAGUAAUAUUCAAAGAGUUCUACAGUGAGUGGUUGCGUACCCAUGUCAACUGAUGAAGGAAUUUAUUCAAUGGAACUUGAGUCCCAGGAAGCAGUCCAACAGAGGAUUCUGAGGAACUUCUUGAAGUCUACAGAUUUGAGCAUAAUUUAUAUACCUUUUAACAAAGCGGUGUCCGUGCAGGAAAGGGCUCAGGCAUCCAACAGUCAUCUGCUCCAAGGAUAACAUGAACUUUUUGGUUAUACGUCAAACAAGGCCUGUACUGUUGAUGUUAUCUAUGUGUGGAGGGAGGCAAGGACCGGGGUGGUCUCUUUCCCCCUCAAUCUCUAAGAAGUGCAGCUGGGAAAGGCGAGAGUGAGGUACCCAUGAUCUCUUCCUGUUACUGAUUCACCCUCCACUCAUGACGUGAGGCAUUGCAAGAUUCGCCUGUUAGACCAGGGAGAAGGGUCCCAGUUGCGUUCACAUCCAGCACCUAGAUUCUGCCACUAACAUUGUAAUGUAUUUUUUGUUACAUAUCUAUCCACCCCUUUCUUUACCCACCAAGUCAACUUUUUUUUUUAAUGUAUUUGAAGUAAAUUGCAGGCAUCUGUACCCUUUCCUGUGUUUACUUCAGCAAUGCAUAUCAUUAACUGGAGCUCAAUAUUAUUUUUAUAAAAUUUUUCUUUUGUUGAAAAAUUUCCAUACAAUAAAACACAUAAAUCUUGAUGUGCAUUUGUUGAGUUUUGAGAAAUGGAUAC